UAUAAAAUUUAUUUUCAGUGAUUUCUACACCCAUCAAUCAUCUUGAAUGAAACAUAGCAUUUUCUUUUUAUUUGUUUUUAUCUAGAUCUGGGCUGUGCAAGAUUGAAAACCAACAAAUGAGGGACGAUGAAGCUUCUGGAACUCCUUCUCCUAUGUCGUUAGCGUCUUUUGAGAUGGUGUCUUUAUUAGAUCCACGUUGCAAUGAUUGGCAAUCCUAUCUUUUGAUGGCAAUAGUGCUCUCCUGUCCAGAGAGUUAUGGUUGGUUGUCUUAACUUUUUCUUCAAUUGAAGUUGCAAUUUACUUGAUGGUUUUCUCUAGAUUUUUCGUUGGUUUGUAAAGCCUAUUAGGCUAUUGUUAGAAUUUCUAUCAAGUUUAGAUGUUGUUUGAUGCUUUGCAUGGCCGACAAUUUCAGAAGGGGAAGAGCUUCAGUAAUGUGGAAUAUUUAUCAACUGGGUUUGAAGCUCUUUUUGGUUGCCUUUCCAGUCUAGGGUUCUUAGGGUUCAGAUUGCUGUUUUUUUUUUUUGUUGGGCCUUAGACUUUGCUGUUCUUGUAUUGGACUUUCAUGUACUUGGACCUUGGGCAUUUUUUUAAAUAAAUUUAUCUUAAAGAAAAAAAAAAGAACUUUGAUGAAA